CAGUUCGGAUUGUAGGCUGAAACUCGCCUACAUGAAGCUGGAGUUACUAGUAAUCGCAGAUCAGAAUGCUGCGGUGAAUGCGUUCCCGGGUCUUGUACACACCGCCCGUCACACCACGGAAGUUGGGGGCGCCCGAAGCCACUUGCUAACCCUUUUGGGAAGCGAGUGUCGAAGGUGAAAUCAAUAACUGGGGUGAAGUCGUAACAAGGUAUC
rnacentral:rRNA from 1 species